CAAGUCGAGCGAGAACCAGUCCUUCGGGACUGGGGACAGCGGCGAACGGGUGAGUAUCACGUGGGUAAUCUGCCCUCGGCACCGGGAUAGCCCGGGGAAACCCGGAUUAAUACCGGAUAGCCUCUCGAGCCUUCGGGCUCGUCAGAAAAGGUGGCUUCGGCUUCCGGCUGAGGAUGAGCCCGCGGCGGAUUAGCUUGUUGGCGGGGUAAUGGCCCACCAAGGCGACGAUCCGUAGCUGGUCUGAGAGGACGAUCAGCCACACUGGGACUGAGACACGGCCCAGACUCCUACGGGAGGCAGCAGUGGGGGAUCUUGCGCAAUGGGCGAAAGCCUGACGCAGCGACGCCGCGUGCGGGAAGAAGGCCUUCGGGUUGUAAACCGCUUUCAGGAGGGACGAAGCCACUCGGGUUAAUAGCCCAGAGGGUGACGGUACCUCCAGAAGAAGCCCCGGCUAACUACGUGCCAGCAGCCGCGGUAAUACGUAGGGGGCAAGCGUUGUCCGGAUUUAUUGGGCGUAAAGAGCGUGUAGGCGGCCAGGUAGGUCAGCUGUGAAAACUCGAGGCUCAACCUCGAGAUGUCGGCUGAAACCAUCUGGCUAGAGUCCGGAAGAGGAGAAUGGAAUUCCCGGUGUAGCGGUGAAAUGCGCAGAUAUCGGGAAGAACACCCGUGGCGAAGGCGGUUCUCUGGGACGGUACUGACGCUGAGACGCGAAAGCGUGGGGAGCGAACAGGAUUAGAUACCCUGGUAGUCCACGCCGUAAACGAUGGGAACUAGGUGUGGGCGGUGUCGACUCCGUCCGUGCC
rnacentral:rRNA from 1 species